AAGCAAGAAAUAAUGCUACUUAUACUUAGUUUCGACCUAAGCCAAAGGUGAUACUCACCCUUGCUUU
rnacentral:tRNA from 1 species